CGCUCACGCACGUGCGACGUCACCCUCCGCGCGAAGGGAGAAAAAAGUUCCCCGCGUUCCCGAUUUGCGGAGUGGCCUGCCAGUGAAGUGACCAGUCGUUUGCCCUGCCUCAGAGGAGAGGUCCAGUGAAGGCUUGAAGAGUGACGUGCCUGUUAUGUAUCCAGCCCUUUGAAAGAACGAGAAAAGCGUGUGUGUGUAUGCAAAAUCUUGAAGUUUGUUCCCUUUUAUGAACUCCUUCCGGGCCUCUCAGGUAAUAUAAACGAGCAAAAUGGAUGUGUGAGAACUGUGACCACUGGAGACCACUGUUGCUGCUCAGGACUGAGCCCUUUUGCCUGCUGGCCCAGGGAGUUAGGAACUUGUUUAGAGAGACCUCUGAAGUCUGGAUUUUUAUGUGAAGUGUUGGGAUUUUAAAAUAUUAGUAAUGAGUUCAAUUUUUAAGAAAACUCUGCAGUCAUAAAUAUGCUAAAACAUCUGCACCCUGUGUUUAAGGAUGAUUUUCUUCAUAUUCUGUAUUUGUUUGCAACAGUCCCCAAGGAUGUGUGUGAGGCAAUUUACGGAGAUACCGUAAAACAUUAUUAGAACUGGACCAAGAACGCAGGGCGAAUGGGAAAAUAAGCAGGGAGGGAUUAAGGUGAAAUCAGGGUGAGGUUACUACACAAAAUGCCAGCAGUAAUAUCCUGAUCGGUUCCUAAAGAUGCACUGCAAGUCUCACUCCGCUCAUUCCGAAAGUCAUGGUAAAGAAGGGAACACAAGUCUAUUCAAAAGUCUAAAUGCCUUUGAAAUUAGAAAAUAAAUAGGUUGUUUAGGAGAAUGGCAUGUUUUCUUAGUUCUAAAAGUUGACAGUGCAUUUUACAAACGUCUGAGUGAUCCCAAAAUACAAAUUCAAUUUGAUCCUUAACGGACCCAUAGAGGAUCUCUGGUUGUGUUUGAACUCUCUGUGAUGGUUUCCAAAAUUAUGUGUAUAUGUGCAUGUACUUUUUCUUCAAAGAAGAUUUGAAAUUGUAAUCAGAUUCUUAAAGGGGUGUCUAGAUUCUCACAGGGGGAAAAAAAAAACCUCUGAAAAUUUUAGAGGGAAGGACAGAUUAUCUUUCAGACCAUCCUUCACUGAGUAUCCUUCAAUGAUAUUUUUUGACAGUGAGCUUUUAAUAAAAACAAAAGAACCUGAUCAUUUUUAAAAUGAGAAGCUGACCAAAAAAGACACUAUUUCAACAAAUUGAUUCAGUUUCUAGCCCUGUCCUAUUCAGUUAGUAGCAGAAGAGAUGAGAGUUUUUUAAAAAGUUGCAGGCAUAUCAUGUAUUGAUUGGUUCAUUCAAUAGUUAUUUAGUUAGCACACUUUGUUAUUUUAUACCUCCACUUAAGAGUUAUUCAAGUUCAUCUGUUGAAUAAUGUUAAUGAUAACUGAAUUGAUUUAAACAUAGUUGCUUUUAAUUUCAAGACAUUUUUGUUCCAGAAAAAUAAGAAAAUUGUGAAUUGGCUUUGAUUUAUUCUUGUCCAAUUUAAUGCAGUCAUUUCUGAUUUUGUUCAGUUCAGAGGAAUACAAGUAGAAAAUUUUUUUUAAUUUAAAAAAAUUUUAUUUAUUUUUGAGAGACACGGAGUGUGAGUGGGGGAGGGGCAGACAGAGAGGGAGACACAGACUCCAAAGCAGGCUCCAAGCUCCGAGCUGUCAGCACAGAGCCCAACGUGGGGCCAAACCCACAAAUGGUGAGACAUGACCCCAGCCGAACAUGACCCUGACACUUAACCUACUGAGCCAACCCAGGCGCCCCAAGUAGAAUUUAAUAUAGAGUGAAUAAGACAUUCUUGUUCCUCUGUUGGCUCCUUUUAUUGUAUUUGAACGUUAACCAAAUUAUAGGCUCGGGUCCAUGAUGAGUUCAGGAUGUAGCAGGAAAAGUCUGGCUGUUUAUCGAGAUUUCCCAGGAUGACAUUAGUUUGGUGAUUAUUACAGUUCCGGGUGUGAUAGUAAUAUCAAUGUCCCAGAGUUGAUUAACAUAUUUUAGUCCACAAGAGCAAAAACUAAGAAAAUAAACCAAGUCAUUUGUUCAUUUGUUGGGGACAGAUUAAUUUUUGGUAGCCAGGAUGCUCAAAUUAUACAAACCAAAGAUAACUGUUUUGGCGGGUCUGGAAAGCAUAUCAGACAGUUGCUUAGUAAAUGAGGAAUCAAAGCAAAAUGAGGCGAAUUGUUUUGAGGGAUUUCAUUGAGACAAUGGUGAGGCCUGAAAAAAUGAUCCCUGCCCCAUCUCAGAGUAUACCUCUUCAAAGACAGGAAAACUCAUACCCCCAUGGGUUUUGUGGGUCUGUUCCCUGGACAAUGCUGGGUAAAGAUUGGCAAUUCUCUUUCUGUAGGCUAAUCUGCACAUAAACUUUGUCUAAACAGUAUACUAGACAAUUGAUUCGAUUUCUGCGGACCAAAUUACAGCCACUUCCACCUUGCCUCCUGAGAUUAUAUCCUCAUCUUUUUUGUUUGUUUGUUUGUUUGUUUGUUUGUUUUCAAGUAGGCUUCAUGCCCAGCGCAGAGCCCAGUGUGGGGCUUGAACUCAGGACCCUGAGAUUAUGGCCUGAGCUGAGAUCAAGAGUUGGGCCACCCAGGCACCCCCAUCUUCAUCUUAAUUAAGGAUUCAGAGUGUUUGUAAACUCCUCACUUACACGUUCACUGGCAGUUUUAUGGAUUGCUCCCACAACCAACUAAUCUACUAAGUAUAGAUUUUACUAGCUUAAUUCUCAGAAACUGCCUUAUUUUCAGCACUGUCGCUAUUUAUGAAAACUUCCUCAAAAAAUUUUCAAGCCUUUUGAUUCAAUUUAGUAAGUAUAUACUAGUGUCAGCACUAUAUUUUAUCCUGGAAAUAAUUACUUGAAAAAAAAAAUUCAAAGAGUUAAUUACCAUGAAAGUUGAAAUUACAAGACGCAGGUUUUCAGUGAUUUGCCAAACACUUAAAUCUCUAUACCUGUGGUGAUAGUUAUGAAACUCUGUAAACAUACUAGAAAUAAUUGAAUUGUACACAAAGCGAAUGAAUUGUAUAGUAUGUAAAUUAUAACUCAAUAAAAUUGUGUUUUUUUAAUACCA